CCUACGGGCGGCAGCAGUGGGGAAUAUUGGACAAUGGGCGAAAGCCUGAUCCAGCCAUGCCGCGUGUGUGAAGAAGGCCUUCGGGUUGUAAAGCACUUUCAGUGGGGAAGAAAGCCUUGGGGCUAAUACCCUCGAGGAAGGACAUCACCCACAGAAGAAGCACCGGCUAACUCCGUGCCAGCAGCCGCGGUAAUACGGAGGGUGCGAGCGUUAAUCGGAAUUACUGGGCGUAAAGCGCGCGUAGGCGGUCUGAUAAGCCGGUUGUGAAAGCCCCGGGCUCAACCUGGGAACGGCAUCCGGAACUGUCAGGCUAGAGUGCAGGAGAGGAAGGGAGAAUUCCCGGGGUAGCGGUGAAAUGCGUAGAGAUCGGGAGGAAUACCAGUGGCGAAGGCGGCCUUCUGGACUGACACUGACGCUGAGGUGCGAAAGCGUGGGUAGCAAACAGGAUUAGAUACCCCGGUAGUC
rnacentral:rRNA from 1 species